rnacentral:rRNA from 1 species
UACAGAGGUCCCCAAGCGUUGUUCGGAUUCACUGGGCGUAAAGGGUGCGUAGGUGGUGAGGUAAGUCGGAUGUGAAAUCUCCGGGCUCAACCCGGAAAUGGCAUUGGAAACUACCUUGCUGGAGGGUUUGAGGGGGGAUUGGAAUACUUGGUGUAGCAGUGAAAUGCGUAGAUAUCAAGUGGAACACCAGUGGCGAAGGCGAAUCCCUGGAAAAUACCUGACACUGAGGCACGAAAGCUAGGGGAGCAAACAGG